UGGCGUGUUUUUACAAAAACAUUUCUGAGGGGAAAAUGUUUUUGGUUUAACCUGCUCAAUGCUUAAGUAAAUAGCUGCAGUAUUUUGACUGUACAAAGGUAGCAUAAUCAUUAGUCUUUUGAUUGAAGGCUUGUAUGAAUGGUUGAACAGAAUAUUGACUUUUUUGAUUUUAUGAUAUUUUAACUUACAGUUUAUGUAAAAAUACAUAGUUACUUAAAAGGGACGAUAAGACCCUAUAGAAUUUAAAAUUGUUUAUGAAAAAUUUUUAUUUUUUGUUGGGGUGACAGUAAAUAAACUUUUACAUAAUUUUCAUUGUUGAGUGAGUGAAUGAUCCUAAUAUUUUAGAUAGAAAGAUAAAAUUACCUUAGGGAUAACAGCAUAAUUUUUUUUAAAAGAUCUUAUUAAUAAAAAGGAUUAUGACCUCGAUGUUGAAUUAAAAUAAAAUUUUGGUGUAGAAGCUUAAUUUUUUAGUCUGUUCGACUUUAAAUUUUACAUGAUCUGAUUUCCAGACCGGA
rnacentral:rRNA from 1 species